UACGUAGGGGGCAAGCGUUGUCCGGAAUUAUUGGGCGUAAAGAGCUCGUAGGCGGUCUGUUGCGUCCGCUGUGAAAACUCGGGGCUUAACCCCGAGCCUGCAGUGGAUACGGGCAGACUAGAGGUAGGUAGGGGAGAAUGGAAUUCCCGGCGUAGCGGUGAAAUGCGCAGAUAUCGGGAGGAACACCGGUGGCGAAGGCGGUUCUCUGGGCCUUACCUGACGCUGAGGAGCGAAAGCGUGGGGAGCGAACAGG
rnacentral:rRNA from 1 species